CUUAUUUUAAAUCGGUGUAUAUAUGACUUAUGCUGCACGGCUAACCUAAUGUAAAAAGGCGCCUCCAUUCGGAUCCCGUAGAGCCACAGAGCGUACAUAUGAUCUGGAGACAGUCAAUGUCUGGAGAGGGCUGUCCGGGCUGAAAAGUGCGGUUGCUGGUCUGGAUGCUGUAGGGAGCUGGAGAGGGCUGGGGCUGGACCCCAUGGCGAGGCAUCAUGUCCUCACAGGCAGAGGAUGGGGCACCAGUAGGGUAACCAACCGUCAGAGAGAGAACUUGCACAAGGAGCACGUUCAGCAGCAAGCGAUCGAGUUUCCGAAGCGUUUUGGUUGCCUUGGAAGCAAUCGACGGCAACAACACAGUCCUUGAAAACACUCCAACAGUAAGGUAACGUUAUACGAUUCUUUAGCUAACAGCGUACCUAUCAUGUUUUAUACAUUCGUCACAAUAAAUGUUAUACAUUCAAGCAUUACUGUCUACACGUUUUAUUUCCUCAUAUUUCAGGUAUAACUUAGUUAUCGAUACAUCUACAAAUUACACGGAUGGAAAGAGGAUUGACUUCUCUUCGAAAUAUAAAAGUCUGUAAAAUAGUGAAAACUACGUUCGAUAAAAAAAUAUCUAUCCAAACAAUUUUUAGUCCCAAAUAAAUACGAAAUGAAAAAUAUCGAGUGGACCUCCUGCAAGGAGUUUACAAUCGACCUCGGAAAGGAACAAAUUGAAAAAUAUAUCAAUCCUGUGUUUCUUUAAUCAGAUGUGGGGAUUGGAUCCAAGCUGGCUGUAUAGUUUAGUGUUCUUAGAGGAGAAGGACCUGGAAUUUCACAAGCAGUAUCACUACAGAACUCUAUGGAGCAUCCCAACUCCACAGACUCCAAUUCCAAAGGCCACUGCAUGUGUCUAUUUUGUCAUAACAGUUUCCAAGAUCAAGCCACAGAGCUUACCAGUAGAAGUGUAUUAUGUUGUGGAAGCAUGCAGGCUGAGACACAGGUAUAUCUUAAACACGUCUUGUCUUUUCUCUGUUCAAUACAGAACUUCCUCCGGAUGACUUUUUUUUCCCCAUUUCACAGGCCAGGAAAAACAAGUUUUAGAGAAAAGUGGCUAAAAGACAUCAUUGAGAGCAAGACUCUACUUCAAGAAACCAUCAACUUCUAAUAACAUACAUUAUCAUUUUCCUGUAUCAAAAAACAGGAUAAUUUACAGGAUUACUGAAAAUUGCAGAAAUUGUAAGCAUUACACAGAUGCAUGCAUUUUUAUUGGUAAGUGCACCAUGUAUUAUGAGAUUACAGAUCACUUAGUGAGAGCUGAAAAUGGUUUUCAUUUGAAAAAAAUUAUAUUAAUGUUUAAAACAAUUCUGGGAUUACAAGGUUUGGGAAUCUGUUCACUAUGUACACACAACACAAAAAUACACAUUAAUGUUCU